UACGAAGGGUGCAAGCGUUACUCGGAAUUACUGGGCGUAAAGCGUGCGUAGGCGGUUUGUUAAGUCCGUUGUGAAAGCCCUGGGCUCAACCUGGGAAUUGCAGUGGAUACUGGCAAGCUAGAGUACGGUAGAGGAUGGUGGAAUUCCCGGUGUAGCGGUGAAAUUCGUAGAUAUCGAGAAGAACACCGGUGGCGAAGGCGGCCACCUGGACGGUGACUGACGCUGAGACGCGAAAGCGUGGGGAGCAAACAGG
rnacentral:rRNA from 1 species